rnacentral:rRNA from 1 species
UACGGAGGGGGCAAGCGUUGUCCGGAUUUAUUGGGCGUAAAGAGCGUGUAGGCGGCCAUACAGGUCCGUUGUGAAAACUCGAGGCUUAACCUCGAGACGUCGAUGGAAACCGUAUGGCUAGAGUCCGGAAGAGGAGAGUGGAAUUCCUGGUGUAGCGGUGAAAUGCGCAGAUAUCAGGAAGAACACCCGUGGCGAAGGCGGUUCUCUGGGCCGGUACUGACGCUGAGACGCGAAAGCGUGGGGAGCGAACAGG